GGGCGCAUGGUUUAGUGGUAUAAUACUCCCUUAGCAACUCGCUUCGAAGUUGGGAGUGGUCCUGGGUUCGAUUCCCAGUGUGUCCA
rnacentral:tRNA from 1 species